rnacentral:rRNA from 1 species
UACGGAGGGUGCGAGCGUUGUCCGGAAUCAUUGGGCGUAAAGGGCGCGUAGGCGGCCGUCCCAAGCGUGCGGUGAAAGUCAGGGGCUCAACCCCUGAUCGGCCGUGCGAACUGGGGGGCUCGAGCACUGUAGAGGCAGGCGGAAUUCCGGGUGUAGCGGUGGAAUGCGUAGAGAUCGGAAGGAACGCCCGUGGCGAAAGCGAGGUCCUGGACGUCAUCUGACGCUGAGACGCGAAAGCUAGGGGAGCGAACGGG